AGGCUUUGCAAUUAACACUGAAUUAAUGGAGAGAUUCCAGAGACGUUCUUGGCACAAUGAAUUGGACAGUUGGAUACGCCCACAUAAGACUAAACAAGCGUUUAAAUCCUCAAAUGAAGGUUUGGAUGGCAUAUCUGUGCUUGGGGUGGGCACUUUCACCAGUUGUGCUAAUGCAUCUAUCCAGUGACUUUCAAGACAUAAUCAGCAGAUGGUGCUGUUAUAAUGAUGAUAUCAUCUAUUCAUGUUAUCUAAUAAAAUCAAAGAUUUCAC